rnacentral:tRNA from 1 species
GGGCGAUUAGCUCAAUUGGUAGAGCACUUCGUUUACACCGAAUAGGUCGGGGGUUCGAGUCCCUCAUCGCCCACCA